rnacentral:lncRNA from 1 species
CUGCUUUUGAUCCCAGUUGUUAACAUGGAUUUUUAUCCCAGUUGGUUCCUGUUAGCUUUUUGUACGCAUUCCUGUUUUGUGUAAAACUCACUUAUAAGACUGGUGCUUGCUUUGAGACAAAUUACAUCCAGAUACAGCACUCCCUUGUGUUUGUGUCUGUUUGUCACCCUUUUUGUCCCCAACUCCUUGCUCACCUGUAACCAGAACCCCUGAUUUCUUCCGCAGAUUGAGAGAGACUAACUGGGGCCAGUCUGCGGCAGAUCAGCAGUCCAGUUCAGUAGAGUCAGGAUAGCAAACACAAAUCAGCAGUGGUGGCACUGCCUAGCAGAGACAGCCAGGUCUCAGCCUCAGAGAAAGUCAGCAGGAGGGACCCAGAGGGGCCAAGAGAAAUUUGCUUAUCCUCUCUCAGCAAAGCAAAGACUCCAGACCAACCAGUGUAGCAGCUGGCUCUAUAAGCAAGCCUAACUCAGCCUCCAUCACUGUGUGUUCUAUUUAUAGCCCUCCAAACAUCACAUGUCCUUCACGUGUCUUGCCUCAACACAUGUCUUGCCUCAGCACACGCAUCUGUCUCAGCUGACAUCACUCUGCCAAUCAGCCCGAGUCCUCAGAAGCAUCAAGAAACUGCAGCACACCACCAGAAAUUUUUUGGUGAAUUACCCUCUAUGGAGUCAUGACAAAUGCAGCUCAACUACACAAUGGUACAAUAUACUACUCGUGUGUUUGUGGUAAUGCUCCUGUAAACAUACCAACUGAACUCCCCAUUGUGUGAAACCAUAACACAUAAGCUUGGAUACAAACUAUUGGUACAGCAUUUACUUAGAAUGCAUGAAGUCCUGGAUCCUGCCUACAGCAAGGCAAAACUGACGAGGUGAGAAGAUCUCU